GACUCGGUGGCGGAUGGUCCGCAUCCACAACUUAUGGAUCAGCCUCGAUAGUGUUCGCUGUGGGAGGUUGCCUGUUCGAAUCAGGCCCGAGUCA